rnacentral:lncRNA from 1 species
CCGGCUUUCAGUACGCUCGGUAAACUUUUUGACGCUAAUCCGGAUCUAAAGCUGGAAAAGAUGAAGGUUGUACUGUUUGUUUUGUCUGCCGUCUUGCUUAUCGCUCAAGCAUUGGCUGACGGUCAUGACACCACCUAUUAUCCGCCGAUGGUGGAUGGGGCAAGCAACAUUGGCAUCUACUUGCCGCUGUUGAUGCUGGCAGCGGUUGUAGCUCGCUUUGCUCUUCGCUAGACGGAUGCAAAGGUCGAUCUGUGUAGACUGGACACGUCAGAUGUCAUAGCUUAUGAAAACGAAUAUUUAUAUCCGCUUUCUUUUCUAACAUUUUACUCCUUUGAUUAGACUUUCAAUGAUUAUAUUACAGUUUUUAUGAGUGUUACUACAAAACAUGUUCUAUUGACUCUUCUUUAAAUAAAAUGUCUUUUGAA